rnacentral:rRNA from 1 species
AGACCCGAAACCCGGUGAUCUAGCCAUGGGCAGGUUGAAGGUUGGGUAACACUAACUGGAGGACCGAACCGACUAAUGUUGAAAAAUUAGCGGAUGACCUGUGGCUGGGGGUGAAAGGCCAAUCAAACCGGGAGAUAGCUGGUUCUCCCCGAAAGCUAUUUAGGUAGCGCCUCGUGAAUUCAUCUCCGGGGGUAGAGCACUGUUUCGGCUAGGGGGCCAUCCCGGCUUACCAACCCGAUGCAAACUGCGAAUACCGGAGAAUGUUAUCACGGGAGACACACGGCGGGUGCUAACGUCCGUCGUGAAGAGGGAAACAACCCAGACCGCCAGCUAAGGUCCCAAAGUCAUGGUUAAGUGGGAAACGAUGUGGGAAGGCCCAGACAGCCAGGAUGUUGGCUUAGAAGCAGCCAUCAUUUAAAGAAAGCGUAAUAGCUCACUGGUCGAGUCGGCCUGCGCGGAAGAUGUAACGGGGCUAAACCAUGCACCGAAGCUGCGGCAGCGAACGUAUCACCCAAGACAACUUUACGGAGUUGACGAUUGACGGAGCGAAGCGACGUCAAAGCGUUCAUUAAAGUCGAGUUGGCUUAGGGAUACGUUCGUUGGGUAGGGGAGCGUUCUGUAAGCCUGUGAAGGUGUGUCGUGAGGCAUGCUGGAGGUAUCAGAAGUGCGAAUGCUGACAUAAGUAACGAUAAAGCGGGUGAAAAGCCCGCUCGCCGGAAGACCAAGGGUUCCUGUCCAACGUUAAUCGGGGCAGGGUGAGUCGACCCCUAAGGCGAGGCCGAAAGGCGUAGUCGAUGGGAAACGGGUUAAUAUUCCCGUACUUGGUGUUACUGCGAAGGGGGGACGGAGAAGGCUAUGUUGGCCGGGCGACGGUUGUCCCGGUUUAAGCGUGUAGGUGUGUGUUCCAGGUAAAUCCGGUUCACUUUAACACUGAGGCGUGAUGACGAGGCACUACGGUGCUGAAGCAACAAAUGCCCUGCUUCCAGGAAAAGCCUCUAAGCAUCAGGUAACAUCAAAUCGUACCCCAAACCGACACAGGUGGUCAGGUAGAGAAUACCAAGGCGCUUGAGAGAACUCGGGUGAAGGAACUAGGCAAAAUGGUGCCGUAACUUCGGGAGAAGGCACGCUGACACGUAGGUGAAGUGAUUUACUCACGGAGCUGAAGUCAGUCGAAGAUACCAGCUGGCUGCAACUGUUUAUUAAAAACACAGCACUGUGCAAACACGAAAGUGGACGUAUACGGUGUGACGCCUGCCCGGUGCCGGAAGGUUAAUUGAUGGGGUCAGCGCAAGCGAAGCUCCUGAUCGAAGCCCCGGUAAACGGCGGCCGUAACUAUAACGGUCCUAAGGUAGCGAAAUUCCUUGUCGGGUAAGUUCCGACCUGCACGAAUGGCGUAAUGAUGGCCAGGCUGUCUCCACCCGAGACUCAGUGAAAUUGAACUCGCUGUGAAGAUGCAGUGUACCCGCGGCAAGACGGAAAGACCCCGUGAACCUUUACUAUAGCUUGACACUGAACAUUGAGCCUUGAUGUGUAGGAUAGGUGGGAGGCUUUGAAGUGUGGACGCCAGUCUGCAUGGAGCCGACCUUGAAAUACCACCCUUUAAUGUUUGAUGUUCUAACGUGGACCCGUAAUCCGGGUUGCGGACAGUGUCUGGUGGGUAGUUUGACUGGGGCGGUCUCCUCCUAAAGAGUAACGGAGGAGCACGAAGGUUGGCUAAUCCUGGUCGGACAUCAGGAGGUUAGUGCAAUGGCAUAAGCCAGCUUGACUGCGAGCGUGACGGCGCGAGCAGGUGCGAAAGCAGGUCAUAGUGA